UUCAAUUUUAAGCACUUUUUUUUUGCCAAAAAAAUCAUAUCCUCAUGCUUUCUAAAAGAUAUCUUGCAGGCUCUCUUUCACAAAAGCGGCAUUUUAAAAUCUGCAUUGGAAAAAUUUUAAAAAUUAGACAAAGAAUGGCAAUUGUAAAGAAUUUGUGAACUUGCUGAGCAUGGUGGUGCAUGCCUGUAAUCUCAGAAUUUGGGAAAGGAGAGGGGAAGAUCAAGAGUUCAAAGUCUCCCUCAGCUACAUCCGGCUUAGGCACUACUGGGAGAUCUAGAAAACAGAAAGAAGUGUGGGAGUGGGGACUGGAACAUUAGUGUAAACUUGAAAGUAGAUUGUGAUACCCUAUUCUCUUCUUUUGGCCAUGAGUUCAACGCUGCCUUUCACGCUGUGCUGCCUCACCAUAGUCCCAAAUCAACAGGAGCAAGCCACCAGCGGAUUGGAACUACGGAAACUGUUUUCAGUGUGAUGCAUCUAGAUUUGUACAGCACCCUGAUGUCUGCCUCUCUGUGGGGCAGCUCACCAACGCUUGGCUUACCAGAAGACCUCCAUAGCUGCCAUCCACUGUACAGAUAGCCUACAAGAAGGACCUUGUAGUUACAGCAUGAACGACCCCAUGGAGCUUGGGCGCUGAAGCCUGCCUAGUUGGUUUUGCUAUUGGGUUUUUGUUUGUUUCAGUUGUUUUGUCUUUUUUCCUGCUCACUGGUUGAGCAGCUGAGUGUGUAUUAUACAGGCCAAUGCCCUUAGCCUGUGGCUGCUGUCUGUUCUCUUAAAUUGAAAGCAGUACAAACUAAUUCUGUUACUUCA